rnacentral:ncRNA from 1 species
CGCUCAUCCAGAGGGGCAGAGGGACACGGCCCGAUGAAGCCCCGGCAACCCUCCAGCCGGUUCUCGUGAUCCACGACAGCGAGGCUCCCGGCUAGGGAAGGUGCCAAAUCCGUCUCACGGCGAAGUGCGUCGUGAGGAAGAUGAGGA